rnacentral:rRNA from 1 species
GGGGAAUCUUCCGCAAUGGGCGAAAGCCUGACGGAGCAAGACCGCGUGAGGGAGGAAGGCCUAUUGGUUGUAAACCUCUUUUGAUAGGGAAGAAUACAAUGACGGUACCUAUCGAAUCAGCAUCGGCUAACUCCGUGCCAGCAGCCGCGGUAAUACGGAGGAUGCAAGCGUUAUCCGGAUUUAUUGGGCGUAAAGCGUCCGUAGGUGGCAAACCAAGUCAGUUGUUAAAGCGUAGAGCUUAACUCUAUAACGGCAAUUGAAACUGGUUAGCUAGAGUGCGAUAGGGGCAAGGGGAAUUCCCAGUGUAGCGGUGAAAUGCGUAGAUAUUGGGAAGAACAUCGGUGGCGAAGGCGCCUUGCUGGGUCUGCACUGACACUGAGGGACGAAAGCUAGGGGAGCGAAAGGGAUUAGAUACCCCUGUAGUC